UUUUAUGGAGAGUUUGAUCCUGGCUCAGGAUGAACGCUGGCGGCGUGCCUAAUACAUGCAAGUCGAGCGAACGGACGAGAAGCUUGCUUCUCUGAUGUUAGCGGCGGACGGGUGAGUAACACGUGGAUAACCUACCUAUAAGACUGGGAUAACUUCGGGAAACCGGAGCUAAUACCGGAUAAUAUUUUGAACCGCAUG
rnacentral:rRNA from 1 species